AUGCAUUAUUUUUGCUCCAAAUAAAAUCUUUUCAUUUAGAUGUUGUCAAAAAGCAAAGGAGUAAAGGAUGCACAGCUACGGGAGAUUCUUUGCUGAUUCUGUGUGAGCCAAUUGGAAGACUUUUCUUCCACGCCUGGUGUUUUUAUUGCCUACAAUGUGGUUUCAAAUUACUUCAGUUCCUCCUCCUUAUCUGUGAUUCAUAGGAAAAGGCAGACAGAGAGCUAUGCCAAGGAAACAUGGUCAUUAAAGUCGUUUCAUCCUUGGAUUUCAAAUUUGUGAUGAGGUGGAAGAAAUGAUGCCAUUGUUUGAAAUCAAGUUCUGACCUCUUCUUCAAUGUGCCAACAAGGGGGCGUUCCCAACUCGACAACAAAGCUCCUGAGACACCACAAAAAUGGAUUAUCUGCCAGAUCAGUAAGAUGCGUUCUUGGGAAGUCUGCUGUUACUAUGCUGUUCCUUCUCAGCAGAAGUACCUCCAGUGCUAAGUGAAAAAUUAUAGAUCAACUCAGCUGACUGCUGAAUGACUGAUACAAAGCAGGACUUCACUAAUAUCCACGUACCUCAGUAGUCCAAAUGAAGUUACAGGUGUUGCUCAAGAGGAGGAACAUCUUGGAAGAGUAAGAUAGAGGAUAAAAGCUAGAAAUCUUACACAAGUGGGACUUUGUUAGGAAAACAACCUAGAAAUGAGUCAAGAUCUAAUUCUUUCUAAGAGCCAGAAUAUGCUGGAAAGUUACUUCGGAUGAAAUCCAAGUUGAAGCAGAGAGCAAAAUCAAAGACAACAAAUCUUUGGGAGGACAGCAUGGCCUAGUACGCUGAGCAGGAAGCAGGAGUCCUCUCUACUGUCACUCACAGAGACUUAAAACAUGAGGCCUCUUCAGCCCCUGGCUCUCCUUCUGUAUGUGUGAUUAAUCAUGUAAAUAAUUAUCUGUAAAAGGACAAUUUAUAGUGCAGUUUGAAUCUACACAAAAUUCAAAUGCCAGGACUCUGUCAUAGCAUUUUCUCUUGCCUAGAUUAUAUGCUCAAUCCAUAAUUCAAUAUUUCCUCCUGCAUACCACACUUUGGUAAACAUCAAAGCUGCAUUACUGGGAUUUAUUGCAUAGCUACGUAGUUGCAGCUAUGGGGAGUUAUACCUCUGUCCAUUCUGGCUGUCCUACAGCAACUUGUUUAAAAAUAAAACAAGGGAAAAAUGAGGGCCUGAAAUUAACUCCAGAGAACUGUGAAAGAUAAAAAUGAUAAUGUUCCUGUAUGAGAUCUGUAGGUGUCUUAAUGGCCAGAGGCACAUAUGGACAUGUGCUGCACUUCUGUUAAACGUGAACGUUAUGUAAAUCUGCAAAAUCAGAUAUUUCCAUUUAAGAAAGAAUUGAGAUAAGUGGCAUGUAUAAUGGAAACAGAUACAUAAACAUAUGAACAUAGAGGUAUACAUGUUUACUAUGUGGAAAUGUAACCUAUGUGCACCGUGUUUUUUCAUUUUCAUCAAAUAUUGCCAAAGAGCGUGCAAUGCCUCUCUGCAUGCAAAUGUUUCUAUAGCUAUUUGUAUGCAUAUAUACAUAUAUAUGUGCACUUCAUACAGAAAUAUAUGUAUGUGCAAAUUGUGUGAAUGUAAAUAUAAGAUAGGCCAUAUGUCCCAAAAGUCUCAAAAGAGCAUCUGAUGUUGAUGUGUAGACAGUAUGUUAAGGAUCUUCCUAAUUAAUAACCCAGAUUAAAACCUCUUGGCAAUCAAUUAAGAUUAAUGACAGAAGUCAUUCUCUAUCCCCCUACGCCCGCAUAUCAGGCUGUGAAAACCCUGGGUCGUGAAACUUUAAUCCUGUUAUCUGCUGCCUUCUCCAUCUGAAAAGCCUACAGAUUAACAGAGCAGACAUUAUCGAAUUUACAACCAGCCGCUCGGACAGCUGCCCUACUUUCAGCAGUUAAUGGAAAAGGAACUAAUCUGGUUAAGAGCACAGGACUAGUUCAUAAAUCUGGACGCACAAGACAGUUAAAGCUGUCACGUCUCUCUUGGAGAGUAGCGACUGAAUUAACCUGUCAGCUUUCCUCUUGCUGCUUCUUGAAGGUAGUCAGUCUUCCUGUAAGCUGGGCUAAUGAGACUCUCAACAUUAACAUAAACUCCAUUGGCCUUCCCUCUCUGUAAGGGCUGUGCCCAAGCUGGGAGUUGUUUUAUAUCUGGGUUUGGUUAGAUAUAUGCAGCACUCUCUUUGCUGGAAGCCAGGUAGUGAUUAAACGUAACUUUUUACCGCAAUCCACCCUAUAUAAAGAUGUGUUGAGGAAGUAAGGAUACGAUUAUUUUUCCUUUUAAAUUAUGCUCAGUGAAACAGUGACAAAAACUUAACUGCCAAAUGAAAUGUUUUCUUCUCAAUACAGCAUGGAGGGGGUGAGGGGCGAAAGGAGGAACUGUAACGCUCUUCAGGCUGGGGGAGACAGUGUGUGGCAGCUGUAGCAAAUUCAUAGUCCAUCCAGAAAAGACUGACUUCUCCUUUCUUAAUAGGCAUUAUAGGCUGCCAGCACAGCUCAAGUUACAGCGAUGCCUGGUAUUUUAGAAGGCCUAAAACACUUAGCUUACAGAUAUCUGUUUGUAAACUAAUAUAGCCAGCAAGGAUUCCUCUGGCUGCAAACUAUGGUAGCAGCUCAGCUUUUUAAAAUGCUUUACUAAAAUGUCGUGGCUACACAAAAGGCGCAUCCCAUAUUUUCUCAUGACAGUACUUCCACCAGGACCAUCCCCGACCCGUGUAGCCUAAUGGUGCCACCUCCAGAGACAGGCUUGCACAAGGGCUGCUAGAGCUGCUUUGUCCAUUUCACUCUGUAGGAGUAUCAGUCAAAUUGGUACAAAUGUCAGGGCCUGAAGGCUGACAAGUAGAUUUAUUUCUUUGUAUUAUUUCAUUCACAGAAGUGCUCAUACUCACACUGCUGAAUUCUGAAGGCUUGAUUUAAAAAAAGCAACAGCUCUGAUCUGCACAAAGUCAGGGAGUGCCAAAAGUGACUGCCUACGUAUGUAGGAAAAUAUCCUUGUUUCUCACAAUGGCAGGACAUCAUCAUUUUUUCAUAAAGAUGACUACUACUGCUUUUGGUGAUGGACAGCUAAGAAAUCUAUUAAGAUACUACCUAACAUCAGCCACUCCAGCUAGGAUGGAGGAGCACCUGAGACCCUUCUCAAUGAUUGAAGGAAUGAUAGAAGGAAUAUUUUAGCAGAAGAGAUUUAAGAAAAAGAGUUGCACUUUAACUCUCUUCUAAUCUCACUUUCUUACCAGUUUUGCAUCUUCUAACAUUGCAGCAAUUCAAAAGAUCCCAGAUAAACAUAACCUUAGCUUUAUGAAUGAUACGUGUGUUUCUUUUUAAAAGUCUCAGGCAACAUCUUUUUCAGCAUAAUCCCUUCUACGUUAUGCUGAAAUAUGCUAUGGCGUAUUAUCAUUGAACAAGGAACUCAAGUGAACAAUAUUAUGUUGUAAUGCAAGUUGCAGCUAGGUGCAGUUUGAUUGAAAAACAUUCUAAAUCCAAAACUGCACUACCUGUAAGUAACUACAGUAGUCUUCCUCUAACCAUGAUUUGUUAUUUCUCUACACAUUUCUACCAUUCACAGAAAAAAAAAAGAAUUUGCCUCAUUUUCUAGCAGGUCCUCCUUGGUUGGAAAAAGACCAAAAAGUACAGUUAUUAGAAAAUAAUGGAAUAAACCAAAAAAUCCUGAUAUCACCAGUAUUGUUCCUGUUUCAUUACUGUACAGGCAAGCCAACAUUGCUGAGUGAGUUAUGAAACACAAGGCUACUACUUGUGCUGGCAGUGCUAUUGCAGUGGUAGAUGAUGAACUGUCCUUCAGACCCUGUUAAAGCACGGUGUGGAACUGAAAGUUUUGGUUCUCCUAGGCACUGCAGUUAGUCUUUUGAUUCAAAAUAGCAUGUUUAGACAGUGUAAGGCACUUACAGCCUCAGCUUCCUAACAAGUCCUUUUCUACUCUAUAAUUGACAGACUGAACUAAUGAUCUGGUAUUUUCUGCCUGUGCCCAGCAUAGGAACUACUGAACAAACAGAAAGGGAACAGGAGCAUGGGCCUCACCUCAGAGAAUAUGACACUGUCACAGUCUUUUGAACUGCAUGUUUGUGGUGCUAACAGAAUUACAAUAUGGAGUAUAAUUUCUCUUGCAUCAUGUAGAGAUGCUGACAAAGUAACAUUACUUUAAAUAGAUGUUUGUAUGAAUUCUACAGCCAUUAUUAUAAAUUCAUCUUUAAAGCAUGUACACACUAACAGGUUUAAAAAAUUUAUAUAUAUAUAUAUAUAUAUUUGGCUGCUUUGUAACAUUGAAAAAGCUGAAAAUAUUCUGUAGUGCUACUGUAGAAAUUUUUGUGCAAUUAGCUGUAGAUUUUUUUUCCUGUUACCUGACACAUAUGUUCACAUCCUGAUUGUGCAAUAUCUUAAAUGAGAGUGGCAUGGACUGUUUGUGGUCUUAAAAGCAGUUUGUCUGCACAUGUACACAGAAUCAGAAUCUCAGCCACUAUCAAGUUGUGCAAAGCAACAAGGUCCUAUUAAGCAUUUGAGAAACCCUAGUGAUAACCUUUAGGUGCUAAACUACAACUCGGAAAAUAAACAGAAGAAUGUAUGUAAAAGAACAGGCCCCUAACAGUCACAUUGCAAACCUGUGCCAAGUUUCUUUCUCCUGCAGAAACAAACUCUGUGGAAGAGGUGUUUCAGUAUGGAAACGAUAGCAGACGCUCCCGCGCAAU